ACUCAAAUGAAUUGACGGGGACCUGCACAAGCGGUGGAGCAUGUGGUUUAAUUCGACGAUAAGCGAGGAACCUUACCAAGUUUUGACAUGCAGCUGCAAAUUUCUGGAAACAGAAACUUCUUCGAGAGUGCUGCACAGGUGCUGCACGGUUGUCGUCAGCUCGUGCCGUGAGGUGUUCACUUAAGUGUGAAAACGAGCGCAACCCCUAUUGCAAGUUACAAGUGUCUUGCGAAACUGCCCGCGUCUAAGCGGGAGGAAGGUGGGGAUGACGUCAAAUCAGCGUGGCUCUUACAACUUGGGCGACACACGUGCUACAAUGGGUAGGAAUAAAGGGACGCCAAGCCGUAAGGCGGAGCAAAUCCUAGCAAAACUACCCCCAGUUCGGAUUGAGGGCUGCAACUCGCCCUCAUGAAGCCGGAAUCGCUAGUAACCGUGAAUCAGCCUCGUCACGGUGAAUACGUUCUCAGGUUUUGUACACACCGCCCGU
rnacentral:rRNA from 1 species